rnacentral:rRNA from 1 species
AUACAGAGGGUGCAAGCGUUAAUCGGAUUUACUGGGCGUAAAGCGCGCGUAGGCGGCUAAUUAAGUCAAAUGUGAAAUCCCCGAGCUUAACUUGGGAAUUGCAUUCGAUACUGGUUAGCUAGAGUGUGGGAGAGGAUGGUAGAAUUCCAGGUGUAGCGGUGAAAUGCGUAGAGAUCUGGAGGAAUACCGAUGGCGAAGGCAGCCAUCUGGCCUAACACUGACGCUUAGGUGCGAAAGCAUGGGGAGCAAACAGGAUUAGAAACCCCGGUAGUCC